rnacentral:rRNA from 1 species
AAUAGAUACCCAGGUAGUCCACGCCGUAAACGAUGAGUGCUAAGUGUUAGAGGGUUUCCGCCCUUUAGUGCUGCAGCAAACGCAUUAAGCACUCCGCCUGGGGAGUACGGUCGCAAGACUGAAACUCAAAGGAAUUGACGGGGGCCCGCACAAGCGGUGGAGCAUGUGGUUUAAUUCGAAGCAACGCGAAGAACCUUACCAGGUCUUGACAUCCUUAUGACUUCUCUAGAGAUAGAGCUUUCCCUUCGGGGACAUAAGUGACAGGUGGUGCAUGGUUGUCGUCAGCUCGUGUCGUGAGAUGUUGGGUUAAGUCCCACAACGAGCGCAACCCUUGAUCUUAGUUGCCAGCAUUCAGUUGGGCACUCUAAGGUGACUGCCGGUGACAAACCGGAGGAAGGUGGGGAUGACGUCAAAUCAUCAUGCCCCUUAUGACCUGGGCUACACACGUGCUACAAUGGAUGGUACAAAGGGUAGCGAGACCGCGAGGUUUAGCCAAUCCCAUAAAAACCAUUCUCAGUUCGGAUUGCAGG